rfam:Camelus ferus unplaced genomic scaffold scaffold1009, whole genome shotgun sequence.
UCGACAUGGGUCCCCAAGGCAGACAGGCUUGGGGCCUGAGUCCACCUUCACUAGGAGGAACAGUGAGGAGCCAGGAACAAGGAUGGGCUUCGGCACCCCUGCCCCAACCAGGGACUUCAACGUGGAAGGGAUAUUGGCUGCUGCAGUGACCUGUGGAGACACCGCUGGAUUUACCUUCCA